rnacentral:tRNA from 1 species
GGGAUCUUAGCUCAGAUGGGAGAGCAUCUGCCUUACAAGCAGAGGGUCAUAGGUUCGAGCCCUAUAGGUCCCA